UACGAAGGGGGGCUAGCGUUGCUCGGAAUCACUGGGCGUAAAGCGCACGUAGGCGGAUUGCUAAGUCAGGGGUGAAUCCUGGAGCUCAACUCCAGAACUGCCUUUGAUACUGGCGAUCUCGAGUCCGGGAGAGGUGAGUGGAACUGCGAGUGUAGAGGUGAAAUUCGUAGAUAUUCGCAAGAACACCAGUGGCGAAGGCGGCUCACUGGCCCGGUACUGACGCUGAGGUGCGAAAGCGUGGGGAGCAAAGCAGG
rnacentral:rRNA from 1 species